AAGCUUAGGAUAACAUAAACCAAGGGCCUUCAAAGCUCUAAACAAGAGCACAAACCUCUUAGCUUCUGCCU
rnacentral:tRNA from 1 species